UAGGGAAUCUUCGGCAAUGGGGGGAACCCUGACCGAGCAACGCCGCGUGAGUGAAGAAGGUUUUCGGAUCGUAAAGCUCUGUUGUUAAGGAAGAACGAGUGUGAGAAUGGAAAGUUCAUACUGUGACGGUACUUAACCAGAAAGGGACGGCUAACUACGUGCCAGCAGCCGCGGUAAUACGUAGGUCCCGAGCGUUGUCCGGAUUUAUUGGGCGUAAAGCGAGCGCAGGCGGUUAGAUAAGUCUGAAGUUAAAGGCAGUGGCUCAACCAUUGUAGGCUUUGGAAACUGUUUAACUUGAGUGCAGAAGGGGAGAGUGGAAUUCCAUGUGUAACGGUGAAAUGCGUAGAUAUAUGGAGGAACACCGGUGGAGAAAGCGGCUCUCUGGUCUGUAACUGACGCUGAGGCUCGAAAGCGUGGGGAGCGAACAGG
rnacentral:rRNA from 1 species